UUUUAUUUUAUUUUAUUCAAGUUGAGUGUCAAACUCCAAUUCAUCAAUGUUUCAAAUACUGCACUGAAGGGAUGCUGAGUCACACAAAUUAAACUCACAGAGGCUGUUCAUUAGAAACAUAAUGACGAUUUAAUAAUUUAUAAGAAAUAGCAUAACUCUCACAAGGGGCAGAUUACUCCUUUUAACCUGGAGUGCCCAUUUUUUUCCUAUUGAAAAACCAUAUGAAGAGGCAAAUAAAAUUCAAAAGGUUGUUUCAUCAAUAUGGAAAGUUAACUAAGGAAUACGGAAGUUUAAUGUCAUUAGAAAUUGAGAAUUUAUGGUAUCCAUACUCACAACAAAGAUUAACUGCAAAGAUCUUUCCUUUCCUUCAAGUCUUCGGACUUCUGUUUCCUGUUGCUACCUUGCAGAGGGCUUCCAGGAUUAAGUACCAAGGUAAGUUCUGUUUUUCUUUUAUAUUUUACAUGUCAGUCCUUUGUUGGUUCCCAGCAUUGUAUUUUCUCCCAGUUUUUGGUUAAUCUUUUCACCUUCUUUAACAUAAUCAUUUGGUGAGCAAAAUUGUUAGUUUUAAUGAGCCAAAUUAAUCCAUCUUUUCCUUCAUAGUUUGUGCUUUUUGUUUCUUAAGAAAUCAUUCUCUUCCUCCAAAGCAACAGAGAUAAUAUGUGUGUAGUUCUUCCUAAAGUUUUUUACCUUUAACCACUCACAGCUAACCCCUUGAUUCACCUGAAAUCAGCUUCAGUGAGAAUUGCCAAGUAGGGAUUCAAUUUAUUUUCUAUAUAAAUCUGAAACAUUUCUUAAAAAUUCUUUUGCUUUAGAAUAUUUAAAUUACAGAAUAUUCUAUUUCCUAGCAAUAAAACAGGGGGUGUUUAAUAGUGAGAUAAAUCC
rnacentral:lncRNA from 1 species